rnacentral:rRNA from 1 species
ACGAACGCUGGCGGCGUGCCUAAUACAUGCAAGUCGAACGCUUCUUUUUCCACCGGAGCUUGCUCCACCGGAAAAAGAGGAGUGGCGAACGGGUGAGUAACACGUGGGUAACCUGCCCAUCAGAAGGGGAUAACACUUGGAAACAGGUGCUAAUACCGUAUAACAAUCGAAACCGCAUGGUUUUGAUUUGAAAGGCGCUUUCGGGUGUCGCUGAUGGAUGGACCCGCGGUGCAUUAGCUAGUUGGUGAGGUAACGGCUCACCAAGGCGACGAUGCAUAGCCGACCUGAGAGGGUGAUCGGCCACAUUGGGACUGAGACACGGCCCAAACUCCUACGGGAGGCAGCAGUAGGGAAUCUUCGGCAAUGGACGAAAGUCUGACCGAGCAACGCCGCGUGAGUGAAGAAGGUUUUCGGAUCGUAAAACUCUGUUGUUAGAGAAGAACAAGGAUGAGAGUAACUGUUCAUCCCUUGACGGUAUCUAACCAGAAAGCCACGGCUAACUACGUGCCAGCAGCCGCGGUAAUACGUAGGUGGCAAGCGUUGUCCGGAUUUAUUGGGCGUAAAGCGAGCGCAGGCGGUUUCUUAAGUCUGAUGUGAAAGCCCCCGGCUCAACCGGGGAGGGUCAGUGGAAACUGGGAGACUUGAGUGCAGAAGAGGAGAGUGGAAUUCCAUGUGUAGCGGUGAAAUGCGUAGAUAUAUGGAGGAACACCAGUGGCGAAGGCGGCUCUCUGGUCUGUAACUGACGCUGAGGCUCGAAAGCGUGGGGAGCAAACAGGAUUAGAUACCCUGGUAGUCCACGCCGUAAACGAUGAGUGCUAAGUGUUGGAGGGUUUCCGCCCUUCAGUGCUGCAGCUAACGCAUUAAGCACUCCGCCUGGGGAGUACGACCGCAAGGUUGAAACUCAAAGGAAUUGACGGGGGCCCGCACAAGCGGUGGAGCAUGUGGUUUAAUUCGAAGCAACGCGAAGAACCUUACCAGGUCUUGACAUCCUUUGACCACUCUAGAGAUAGAGCUUCCCCUUCGGGGGCAAAGUGACAGGUGGUGCAUGGUUGUCGUCAGCUCGUGUCGUGAGAUGUUGGGUUAAGUCCCGCAACGAGCGCAACCCUUAUUGUUAGUUGCCAUCAUUUAGUUGGGCACUCUAGCAAGACUGCCGGUGACAAACCGGAGGAAGGUGGGGAUGACGUCAAAUCAUCAUGCCCCUUAUGACCUGGGCUACACACGUGCUACAAUGGGAAGUACAACGAGUCGCAAAGUCGCGAGGCUAAGCUAAUCUCUUAAAGCUUCUCUCAGUUCGGAUUGUAGGCUGCAACUCGCCUACAUGAAGCCGGAAUCGCUAGUAAUCGCGGAUCAGCACGCCGCGGUGAAUACGUUCCCGGGCCUUGUACACACCGCCCGUCACACCACGAGAGUUUGUAACACCCGAAGUCGGUGAGGUAACCUUUUGGAGCCAGCCGCCUAAGGUGGGAUAGAUGAUUGGGGUG